rnacentral:rRNA from 1 species
GAUGAACGCUGGCGGCGUGCCUAACACAUGCAAGUCGAGCGAUUCUCUUCGGAGAAGAGCGGCGGACGGGUGAGUAACGCGUGGGUAACCUGCCCUGUACACACGGAUAACAUACCGAAAGGUAUGCUAAUACGAGAUAAUAUGCUUUUAUCGCAUGGUAGAAGUAUCAAAGCUUUUGCGGUACAGGAUGGACCCGCGUCUGAUUAGCUAGUUGGUAAGGUAACGGCUUACCAAGGCGACGAUCAGUAGCCGACCUGAGAGGGUGAUCGGCCACAGUGGAACUGAGACACGGUCCAAACUCCUACGGGAGGCAGCAGUGGGGAAUAUUGCACAAUGGGCGAAAGCCUGAUGCAGCAACGCCGCGUGAGCGAUGAAGGCCUUCGGGUCGUAAAGCUCUGUCCUCAAGGAAGAUAAUGACGGUACUUGAGGAGGAAGCCCCGGCUAACUACGUGCCAGCAGCCGCCGUAAAAC